AUAUUUUUUUCCUGACCGCAUGAGUAUACUCGUAGGUAACCUACCUAUAAGACUGGGAUAACUUCGGGAAACCGGAGCUAAUACCGGAUAAUAUUUCGAACCGCAUGGUUCGAUAGUGAAAGAUGGCUUUGCUAUCACUUAUAGAUGGACCUGCGCCGUAUUAGCUAGUUGGUAAGGUAACGGCUUACCAAGGCAACGAUACGUAGCCGACCUGAGAGGGUGAUCGGCCACACUGGAACUGAGACACGGUCCAGACUCCUACGGGAGGCAGCAGUAGGGAAUCUUCCGCAAUGGGCGAAAGCCUGACGGAGCAACGCCGCGUGAGUGAUGAAGGUCUUCGGAUCGUAAAACUCUGUUAUUAGGGAAGAACAAACGUGUAAGUAACUGUGCACGUCUUGACGGUACCUAAUCAGAAAGCCACGGCUAACUACGUGCCAGCAGCCGCGGUAAUACGUAGGUGGCAAGCGUUAUCCGGAAUUAUUGGGCGUAAAGCGCGCGUAGGCGGUUUUUUAAGUCUGAUGUGAAAGCCCACGGCUCAACCGUGGAGGGUCAUUGGAAACUGGGAAAACUUGGAGUGCAGAAGAGGGAAAGUGGAAUUCCAUGUGUAGCGGUGAAAUGCGCAGAGAUAUGGAGGGAACACCAGUGGCGAA
rnacentral:rRNA from 1 species